rnacentral:rRNA from 1 species
CCCUUAGAUGUCCGGGGCCGCACGCGCGCUACACUGAAGGAAUCAGCGUGGCUUUCUCCCUGACCCGAAAGGGUUGGGAAACCCGUUGAAUCUCCUUCUUGAUAGGGAUUGGGGCUUGAAAUUGUUCCCCAUGAACGAGGAAUUCCCAGUAAGCGCGAGUCAUAAGCUCGCGUUGAUUACGUCCCUGCCCUUUGUACACACCGCCCGUCGCUACUACCGAUUGAACGGUUUAGUGAGGGCCUCGGAUUGGUCUCGGCCCGCUCUUUACCGGGCGGCGCCGUUGGUCGAGAAGACGCUCGAACUUGAUCGUUUAGAGGAAGUAAAAGUCGUAACA